rnacentral:rRNA from 2 species
UGAGGAAUAUUGGUCAAUGGGCGGAAGCCUGAACCAGCCAUGCCGCGUGCAGGAUGACGGCCCUACGGGUUGUAAACUGCUUUUCCCCGGGAAGAAUAAGCCCCUCGUGAGGGGUGAUGCCGGUACCGGGGGAAUAAGGAUCGGCUGACUCCGUGCCAGCAGCCGCGGUAAUACGGAGGAUCCGAGCGUUAUCCGGAUUUACUGGGUUUAAAGGGUGCGUAGGCGGGCGCCUAAGUCAGCGGUGAAAUGCAGCGGCUCAACCGUUGAACUGCCGUUGAAACUGGGCGCCUUGGAUGCGGUCGAGGCCGGCGGAAUGCGUGGUGUAGCGGUGAAAUGCUUAGAUAUCACGCAGAACGCCAAUUGCGAAGGCAGCUGGCCGGGCCGCAAUCGACGCUGAGGCACGAAAGCGUGGGGAUCAAACAGG